rnacentral:lncRNA from 10 species
CCUGGCGACAGAGUGAGACUCCGUCUCAAAAAAAAAAAAAAAAAAAGGAAUCCACCUUCAGGCAAAUUCCCUCCGCCUCUCAAGAAAGAUAAUAAAACAAAAUGGAGAGUCCUCGUCUCUAAAAAACCUGGGUCAGGUUUUGAAUGAACGCAGUACCGUGACCCAGCAUUAGGGGCUAGGAACGUCCACAGUCACGACUGAGGCUUGCUGCUCUGGCGCCCCCUUGGGCAUGAGAGUGGAACUGUAUACAAAGUUGCCUAAAUCCCCACUGCUGCAGUCCCCAGAACACCACCCAGUGUCUCUUUUUCUAGGCCUUUCUCAGCCUGGAGAGUUUCCUAACUUUUUGCCAUUCCCAAGGUUUUUCUCUGACCACCACCAAACCCUUCUCAAUCUACUAAUUUUUCUAAACAAAUUAUUUUAUCUUUCUAAUUCUGC